rnacentral:rRNA from 1 species
GUCUACGGCCAUACCACCGUGAACGCGCCCGAUCUCAUCUGAUCUCGGAAGCU